rnacentral:lncRNA from 1 species
CACAACACAAAAAUAUACAAGCUAUCUAGUGCCAUCGUGCCUCGAUUGCACCUCUUCAUUAUUAGAAAAGCUUGGUUGCUGUGAUGAAGACUGAAGUUAGUUUGACGGUGUCAUGUAGUGGAGGAUCUAUGUGAUUGUCGACUCCAAGUUUAUAAGACAGUUAUUCUUAUUGUCAAAAUUGUCCUUUAGUUUUUCAUAGCCUUAUGGAUUAUAUGCAGGAAGAGGGGGAGAGGCAAGAACAUUGUUAAUAGUGGUCAGACCACAAGCAAACUCAAACGAAUGAGGGACAUCAAUUAAUGAUGUAGCUGGCAAAACUUGUAGAUACGGGUCUAAGUGGUCUUCACCCUCCAAUAGUGUUGGACCAUGCUUGCAGAUCAAACUCCAAUUAGAAUGAUAGCUCUUGACCAUACUUUUGUGAUGAUAUGGAAGCAUAUGUUUCCUACAAAAAAAAUUAAAGGAAUGGGUAUUUUAAUUUUUAAAUAACAUAAAUUCAAAGGUCAAUAAUGAUUGUUUUUUGAAAACAAUAUUAUAUCUUAUGAUAUUAUAUAAUAUUAUAUCUUAAUUUAACACUAUUAAAAUUAUAUAUGUGAUUUAUAUAAUUAAUUUAAAAAUUAUUAGUUUACAAUUAAAUUGACAACACAAUAACAAUACAAAGACAUUUAUAAAUUUUACAACAUAAUAACAACACAAACACAAUAAAAAUUUAUAAAUUAUAUAACAACACAAUAAUAACACAAACACAUUUAUAAAUUUUAUAAUAAUACAAUAACAACACAAACACAUUUACAAAUUUUGUAACCACAUAAUAAUUACAACACAGACGUAAUAACAAUUGUUGACUCCAUGUAUUUUUUAUGAUAACAAAACAUUUCCCUUUAUUGAUGUCUAAUUACAUUACUUAAGUGUGCAGGACAAAGUUUAAAAGCCUUAAUAUUUGUUGUUUGCAAGCAAGUCAAGAAGCUUGCUUAAUUACAAGAUUAGUUAAUCAGUUAAAGAAGCAAAGAAACAACGACUUAGUGAAGACAACAUCUUGAUAAUUAAUUAAUAUAGAGCCUUAAUCAGUUAAGCUAGAACUGGGUGCUAUACAAAAGCAAAUCAAAGAAAUCUUAAUCAGUUAGCACAAGGCUAACUGAUUAAGCAAGUGUUGGACAAAGCAAAGUAGGGGCGUGCUAAUCGGUUAAGGCGUGGGGUUAAUCUGUUAAAGCACAAGACUUGAAGAAUCUCCAAGAGCCAAAAUCAAGUUUAAAAGAUAGUUGACUGUUUAAGGGAGCCAAAUGGAGAAGUUCAAAAUUUGAAUAAUUUCUAGUUGAUUAAAGUUGAUUUUAAUAAGUUAUGGUUGAAGGAAAUAAAGCUUCAAUCAAUUAGGGAAGAGUUGAUGGAUUAGAGGAAAACUACAGUGUAGAGAGCAAUAAAAACAGAAAGUUUGUAAUCGGUUAGAGCCUGCUGUAACCAAAUAGAGGAAGUUUAUUGAAGAAAAAAAGCUUGAAGAUAGAGAACUCUUAAUCGAUUAAAGCCUCAUGUAAUCUAUAAGCGUAGAGAACACAACAACAAGAUAGUACAAGGUAGAGAAGUUGUAAUCAGUUAGAGUUGCCUGUAACCAGUUAGCCAAACAUUGCCUGCUUAUUUGAAAAGAGCUCAAAAAGACAAAAUAACAACUAAUAACGGGUAAAAAUUGUCUCUAAUGGCUAGAAUCAGUCUUCCAAGUAUUUAAAGCCUUUCUAACAAUAAAAAAUCAUAUAGAAAAGCUACCAAGAGUGAUUUUGAGCUAAAAACAUACAAAAACCUUCUCUUAACACUUGUGUUCCACUCCAAUCCUUGUGAAAGUGUUUAUGAUGAAGCUUGUACAACUUAGAUCAAUUAAGUGGUCAUUUGUACUUUCUUUUAUCUUCUAUUUCUUGUUUACUUAGAGUGUGCAAUACACUCUAGGGGUUAUCUAAGCUAGGGUAAGUUUGGUACUUGUUGUAAAAGGUUGAAGCUUAGGUUAAAAGCUUAUCUUAUAAAAGCUUGGUGAAAGCUAUUAAUUCCACCGAUUUUAGUGAAGUUGGGUUGAAAAUCCUUGAUUAGGAAAAUCAAGGUAGUGGAUGUAGGUCAGGUGGACCAAACCACUAUAAAUAUUAUGUUUUGUCUACUUCUCUUAACCUUUGUCUUGGUGUUCACUAACCUUCACAAGUUCUAAACCAUCCGUCCUAAAUCUUCUAAAAGGUUUUCAAAUUUCUGAAUUUAUCUUCAAAAUAUUUCUAAAGUGCUAUUCACCCCCCUCUAACACUUUUUUUGGGACCAACAAGUGGUAUCAAGAUAACCCUUGAUUUUAAGGCUUAAAAUCCUAAGGGGAAGAUCUAAUGGCUGCUCAAAAUUCUAAUGUCGCUCAGGGUCAAUCCACAAAUAGGCCUCUUCUAUUUGAUGGAACUAAUUUCCAAUUUUGGAGUAUUAAGAUGUUGAUUUAUAUUAGGGCUUAUGACUAUGAAAUGUGGGAUGUCAUCAUCAAUGGUCCCUUCAUCCCUAUGAAGACCAAUUCGAUAAAUGGUAAGAAAGCUACCAAAGAUGUAAAUGAGCGGACAACAGAUGAAAUGAGGAGAGUACACAAAAAACUCCGAUGCCAUGCACACUCUCAUUUGUGCACUUAAUUAUAGAGAAUAAAAUAGAGUGUUCAUGUGCAAAAAUGCUUAGGAGAUUUAGGAAAAAUUAAAAGAGGAUGAACUGCUAUGCUUUGAGUGCAAAAAAUCUUACCACUUUAGAUCCGAAUGUCCACUACGCAAGGAGGAAUCCUCAAAGAAGACUAAGAACUCUGAAAGAGCAAUAGUGGCUGCAACAUAGUUGGAUAGUGACUCCACUAGCUUAGAGG